AUGGAGCCCCGUGAGCUGCUGGAAGCGCUGGUGGACGUGGUGGCCACCCUGGGUGAGCUGGCAGCCACCAUCGCUGGGCCGGAUAGGGACGUGAGGCUGGGCAUGUUCCCAGGAUCCCUGCACAAGGCCCUGGACCCCUUCAUCAGUGACCUCCAGGACACCCUGGGCCACCACGGUCACACCUCCCUGGGCCAGGCCCUGGCUGCCUUUAGGGCCAACCUGGGGGCCACCUGGGCCCAUGUGACAGCUGCAGCCAGUGCCUGGCAGGGCUCGGUGGCCAAGCUUGAGGACAGCUGGGCCCAGCUGGCCAAAAAGGCCACCGAGCUCCGCAACGCCUGCAGGGACACGGCCACCAGGGAGGCCACCACUGCGGCCACCGCCAACACUCGGGCCAGGGACCUGCAGGGCACGGCCACCCGCUGGGAGCCAUCUCUGCACAACCUGGUGGCUGAGGCCUGGCAGCUGCCGCUGGCCCUGGACAAAAAGGAGGUGGCCUCAGUGGUGGCCGUGCAUACGGCCCGGAUGGCAGCAGCCAACAAUGAGGUGGAAGCAGCCACCAAGGCCAAGGAAGAGGCCAUAGUGGCCACCAGCGAGGCAGAGGCAGCCACCAGGAGGGGAAAGAAGGCAAAAGCAGCCCUGGGGCUUCUGCAGCGCUUGGUGGCCACGUGUGACAGAGCCAUGGCGUACCCCCGGGAGCUGCAGCGCCAGCUCAGGCACAUCGAGGCCACCCUGAAGGGGACAAAUCAGGCAUCCCCUGAUGUCCCCGAGGCCUUGGUGGCUGCGGUGGCCAAUGCCGAGCUGCUGUGGGAGGCCCGUGCCCGCCUGGCCACACGUCACCUAGUGGGGACACUUGAGGACAUCCGCUUGCUUGUCUCAAGUCACCCUGGUGACACUGGUGGCCCCAGUGGCCAUGCGGUGGCUGAGCAGUGCCAAAAAGCCAUCGAGGACAUCCCAAUGCUGCUGUGGGGACAGUGAUGUCACCACUGUGAUGUCAUCAAGGGUGGUGAAAUCACUGGGGACAUCCCUGGAGUCACCUGUCCACUCCCUCCUCCCUGCCAGAGAUUUGAGACAAAUUUGGGGAAUUUUCUGGGAAUUUUCAUUAAAAUUGCCCUAAAUCCUGAUGGGAAUUCCUGGAGUGAUGUCACCGGGGACACUCUGAGGACACUCUGGGGCCACUCAGGGCCACUCAGUGGCAGGUUGGGGGGGUGAAUGAGGCAGCUUUCCACCAUGGGUACAGCAGAUCAUUUCUCAAGCCUCCUCAAAACCCUUCAGGUUCCUUUCCCUCUGUGGGCAAUUUCACCUCAAAUGCCCAAUUUCCCUGCAUUGGUGACAGAUUGGGCCUCAGUUGUUCAAUUGCCCUUUUCCCUUUUAGGGCCUCUCCCCCAGGAGCUCUGGUCCCAUUGUCCUCCCCCUGCUCCCGUUUGCCGUGCCCUGACAGGGUCACUUCCCUCUGGGGGUGGGUCCUUGCACACUGGUUCCCCUCAGCAGUAGUGGAUGCCAUUAUCUUUGCUUUCCCCUUGGCUUUCUCCUCAUCCCUCCCUCCGUACAGUGACCUUCUGGGCUUCUUUUAUCAGGUCAUUCAAUCCUUUAUCCUGCCAUUCCCCCAGUCUUUCCAGCUUUUCCUUAUAUCCAGCCAAGCUUGAGUGACAAAGGUUAUCUUCAAUAAAGCUUGUCCAGCUAUUUUAUCA
ensembl:lncRNA